GCCUUCUUCGCGGUGUAGUGGUCAACACGCUCGACGCGUAACCGAGAGGUCCGUGGUUCGAUUCCCGGCGAAGGCG
rfam:Stegodyphus mimosarum contig19529, whole genome shotgun sequence.